GCCAGCACUUGGCAAAACCGUGGGGGACCCGGCAGUCUCCUCUGGUACACCGAGCUGUGUGUUACCGUUCCUCGCUUGUUGUAUCACGUUCUCGCCGUAAUCAGCGUCGACGCGCGUCCGAUCUGACAGACCUGUAGUCGCGGCGGCACGUCGUCGUCUACACACGCGCGCACCCUGUAUACAUAUAUAUAUACACACACAAAACUUACGUAUAUGUGUAUAUAUACGUAGAGGCAGAGAAAGAGAGGGAGAGAUACACACAGGUGACCCAGCAACAUACACGCACACGCGAACGUAUACGAAGUCCGUGCACACAUCAUCCACCGGCAUACGCACCUUUGCGCGCACACGGACCACCGACCAACAGAAGAUCCUAAAGGAAGGAUAUAAGGAGGAAAAAUCCGACGUGGGUGUUCGAGCAGUGCGAAGACCAAGGCAAUCGCUUGUCGCGUUUAAUCGGACACGCGCGAUCGCGGCUCUUAAGUGAAAAAGGGUACGGGACGCACUGGAGAGAUACACGGUGUGGCCAGGUGCAAACGGUCCUUCCGGUUAGUCGUCCGUACCUCGGCCUUCAUCAUCGAGGAGUAACACGUGCAGAUCGUACAACGAUUCGAGGCGGUGACCGAGCACGGCAAAACCACGCAAGAAUGAUGGAAUGCAAAUGUCGUUCUGAGUUCGAUGAUUUUUGGUAUUCAGCCGAAUGGAGGUCGACGAUUAAUCAAUGAAGAAAGUUUCGUAUGGAAACUGUUGGCAACAACGUUUUAUUUUUCACGUGAUCGGAUUGGUGGUGUUUAGUGAUAUUUCUGGACCACUGUCAAGUUAAUUGCACGGUUUUGAAAUAUGCCAGCUUACGAACGACAAUGGCAUUCAGUAUUAUACUUAACCGAUGUUUACGUAAAGUCUGGCCUUUCAACGCUGUUUCUUUGUACAUAUUAACGCUAAGACGUAUUAGUGUAACAAACAAUAACAAUGAAAGUCGACUACUUUACUACGUUGAAUGAACGCCAGGUCCAUUAAUCAUCAUCAGUUUCUUGAAUUUUGUGUGGAAAAAUAAGCAAAUACAUUGUAGGAAUCAUCGUUAAAUUGUUCUAUGAAUCAUGAGAAUUUUAGCGUUUGUUAAAUAUUAAACAAUUGAACAUACAGAAUUGUCCCAUAGAAUGGAUGGCGAUGAAUGAUUAAUUGUAAGGGCGUCGAAAUGUGAUUCCCAAACGUUUAAUGCAGUUGAUGUAUCGUAUUCCCAAAUCGUUCCAAAAUAUUAAUUCGUACGAAAUGAAUCUAUAUCAUCAAAUUUAGUUUCAGAAUAAUUUAUACAAGGCAGCGUCACUGAACUUCCAUCAUACGAAAUAAAGGUUGAUAUUCAAAUUAGAAUGAAAUUCAAACUUUUUGACUCAAAUUUUAAAGAAGAUUCAAAUUCACAUACAAGUUCUCAAAUUUUCAAGUUCAAGUUUUCAAAUCCAAAUAAAAAUUUUGAUCGAUCAUCCUUGAUGUUAAUUGAAUCAAUCGUUCAAUUAAAUCAAACGAAACAUCUUUAAAAAAAACUUCUACGAGCGCAAGAAAUUCAAGCAAUGCAAAUCUUGAGACGUUUAUUAAUAACUCCUUUUAAUAUCAUUAAAAAUUUUAAUGUCCAAAUUAAGUGCCAAAAAUUGCCUGUGCCAAAAUAGAUCCAAAACUCUUGGAACGAGACCAAGGAAAAUUCCAAUUCGAUUUCAAAUUUAAAUAAAAAUGCAUGUCAACAACAACUCAUUCCUGAAGACUACCACAAGCAUGACAAACCCAAAAUACGCAAACCUCAAGCACCUCGACGCGCCACAUAAUGUAAGCUCACAGCACAUUACGUGUCCGCGCGCCAAACAACGUUCAUCUUCCGCGUGUUUCCGCGGUGGCCGUGUUUCACAGCGAUUUCGGCCGUGUCGCGUGUUCCUCAGAAUUUUCAUAUUCCCUCGGUCUGCUUGUAAUAAAAGACAAUGAGAGCCAGCUUGGUCGCGCGUCCUGACAAAGCUUGUGAAGCUGAUUUAUCGGCGCGUCAUGAGGACGCGUUAGGCCGUCUGUCGACGUUCCUCGAGUUUCGAGCAACGGAACGUGUCGUAACGAGCCGGCAUUCAUGGUACAGCGAGAAGAACGGCCUUGCUACAUUAUUAGACACCGCGCGGCAUUAGGCGUGCAACAAAAGCGGCAUGCACACGCUUCGAUCGUGCCACGGAUCUUUACACGCGUAGCUGUCGUUCAAAUAUCGAUCUCAGUCGAUUGUGGAUUUUAUUUAUUUUUAACCUUCUAUCGAGCUGUAACGAAUAAUUUUUAAUGGACUUUGUUGAUUGUAUAUUUGGAGGAAAUUUAUUGCAUACUUACAGCAACAGUAACGAUCGAUUUGUUGCAUAACCUGCACGUCGAAGAUGUUUCGUCUCGGCAUCGAGGCCUUGGAAUUAGAAUUCAUACAAUACAUAUGUAUAAUGCAGUGACUCGCGAAAGUAUUUGAACAGUUACCAUAGGCGAUUUUUACGAAUAUAUAUUAUGUGUGAUAUACGACAUUUUUUGAAACUUCGUUUCCAUUGUACAAGACAGGACUAUCGUUAUUAUAUUAAUAAAAUUUUAUAUCAAUCCGGAAAUACGUGUAGGAGUCGCAAAGCGUUCAUUGGAAAUAUACACUUGUAAAAUUAGCGUACAGCAUGAAUGCUGAUCUUAAACAUACAAUUUGUACUAAAGAUAGUCUCGCUAAAUAUUCUGGCUUAUUAAUAUAGUAAAUAAUUCAUAAUUAAUAAAACAUAGAUAAUCGUUCAGAUACUUCAAGGAUUUUUGCAAAGUAUAUGUUUCCAAUAAAUACCUAAUAACAUCUAUGUACAUCUUCAGAUUCGUUUCAAAUUUUUAUCAAUGUAAUAUUACCAAUAUAAACCGUAGCCGUGUCUCGGUUGCUGUGUUAAGAAGAUUUCAAAAUGUUUCGUACAACAUGCAGUAUCAGUAAGCAGUUUCUACGAGUAUUGGAAUAUUUCCGUAAGCCACUGUACAUUCAUAAGAGGUAUCAUGCAAGUGUUAGAAUGCUUUCGUCAGUGUGUGUGUAUACUUGCACUAAAUGUUUAGUAACUCUUAUGUACA